rnacentral:lncRNA from 1 species
CGCACGGUUGGUCGUUUGAUUUUGGGGAUUCUUUUUUAUUUCCAUUAUUAUAUUACAUGUAUAAAUAAUAAUAAAAACAGUUCAGAUUGUUCCUUAGUUUGAUGAUAGGAACGCCCCCGUGGCCUGAGUUAUUAUUUUUGUAUACCAUUCUGUAGACUUUUGAUACACGUACUCUUGUUCUUGUACUUUGAAUUUUAUUUACUAUGUAUAUUUAAUUCUCUACAGUGGCUGAUUAAUUUAUCUUUAAAUCAAUGCUUGAUUGUAGAUACAUUUUCAAUACAAAAUAAGAACGAGUUGGUUUGGGGCCAACACAAACAUAUACAUACAUGCAAUCACAUUGAAAGCACGUUCAUAACAAGAAUAAUAUAUAUAUAGAUAUCUAUAUUCACAUGUAUCAUAUGUGUAGUGACUGAUUUGGUCGGUUUAAUUUGCAGUUGUGCUGGCUUGUGUUGCUGCUGUGCCUUGGACGCCUGCUUCUGAACACACACGCACGGUUGAUCGUUUGACUUUGGGCAUUCCUUUUUAUUUCCAUUAUUGCAUGAAUAAAUAAUAAUGAAAACAGUUCAGAUUGUGUUAGGUCCCAGAUGUAGCUAACAAUUACAAUUGUUAGACGUAAUAUUUUCUGCUUAUGGUGAGAAAUAUCUAAAGUGUUUUUUGUUGUUUGAAUACUCUCCCCUUUUAUUCAUAUUGUUGGACGUGUGGGCGCCCAACAUGGGCCGAGCCGACCCGACCCACACAUGGUAACCAUUUGUUGUGUUUAACUUCCCAACCGUGCUACAUAUACAUGCCAUCAAAAUCGUUGCUGUGGAGAUGUGGUUUACUUCUUUAUUCAUUAAAAAGAAAAACAAGAUCUUUGAACAAUUCGUAAAAGGCAAAUAUACUGUGACUUGAGAAAGAUUUCCGCUCGUGAUUUCUUUCCGACCAGUGACGUGAUCCAACACAUGUUUAUUCCGGCACAUAAUUCAAAAAAGGUAAGGCCUAUUGAUUUUUUUUUUAAAGAAUUUCUUCAUUGGUAUUAGAGCCUGAAUUGUUUUGGAUUCGUGCAUUGGUUGGAUUUAAUUCAUGAAAAGCUUGAUUUUUUAAAAUUUUUUUAUGAUGCUAUUGUUUUAAUUGCUCUAGAAUGUUUAAUAUGAAUGGAUUAAUUUUGGAAUUGAUAUUAUUAAAACCGGCCUAAGGUUUAGAUUGCAUGAACCCUAAAUAUAUAUGAAACCCGAAACUUCAAUGGAUCAUAUCUUUUGAUUUAGGACACCUGGCAAUAUGUGUGAUAUAUCAUUGGAAAGAUAUUUUCGAGAGCUUUCCAACGGUAUGUGAUUUGUUAAAAACGGACUUAAGACAAGAAAUUUAUGGCCAAAAUAUUAUUCUGGUUGGAUUAGAGUUUGUAAAGGGUUAAAAACUUUAAUUUUUACAAGAUGAUGAAUAGUGCCGGAGUUAGUUUUUUUGACGAUUUCAGCCUAUUCCGACCUCCGUUUGAAAUCCGAAUGUUCCAUUGAAUUCAUAAUGAAGAUCCAAUGUGCUCGUUAGUGCCGUGACUGGCAGUGCCUCUGGUUGCACUAAAAAAUUCAGCCAAUUUGCUCAUGGUGUCCUCCAGACACUGCAGCUUGUCAUUGAUCCCAAUUUCCAUUUAUUCCAUCUUGUUUUGGAAGCUCCUGAUAUCAGCUUCAAUUUGUUCGAUGCGCUUCUUGUUGGUCGUCAUUGAUAGCUAGCACUUAUACCAAUGUUAAGUCCCAGUCAAAUGUAACUAACAAUUACAAUUGUUAGAAGUAAUAUUUUCUACUUAUGGUCAGAAAUAACCAAAGUGUUUUUGUUGUUUGAAUACUCUUCCCCUUUAUUCAUGAAAUAACCAAAGUGUUUUUGUUGUUUGAAUACUCUUCCCCUUUAUUCAUAUCUCUGGAGCUUAUUUAUAACAAAAGACUUUGAUUUCCAACCCAAUAUCUCAGCUGGGAUCAAUCAACAAAUAUCAAGCUAACAACUUGACUAAUAUUUCGAACUGAAAAAUAAAUCAAAAGUAAAUCAAAAGCAAACUUCCAAGAUUUGGAUCCCCCCUCAAUCUCUGCACGAUCUCUGACAAAGUAAACCCAAAAUCAUGGCUCCGAUUUGGCAUUCACACAUUAACCUCACGUGAGACUUCAUGCAUGGCUUUGGGAAUGGCUUUGCAUGGCACCCUUCACGUAGGGUACUUUGGGUUUGGCUUUGGUAGCCUAUCAGACCUUCGUGGCUCAUGACUCUGCACUCUAUCAGAUUGUUCCUUAGUUUGAUGAUAGGAUUGCCCCCGUGGCUUGAGUUAUUAUUUUUGUAUACCAUUCUAUAGACUUUUGAUCCACAUACUCUUGUUCUUGUACUCUGAAUUUUAAUUAUUAUGUAUUUAAUUUUCUGCAGCGGCUGAUUAAUUUAUCUUUAAAUCAAUGCUUGAUUGUAGAUACAUUUUCAAUACAAAAUAAGAACAAGUUGGUUUGGGGCCAACACAAACACAUACAUGCAAUAACAUUGAAAGCACGUUCAUAACAAGAAUGAUAAUAUAAUGACUUUAACAUAUUUUUCAAAAAAAAAUUAUUUCCAGAUUUAUCUUAUGUAUGAUCAAAAGUCUAUCACAAUCUUUUAAAUCAGCAUUAGAAACCAUCAACUUAAAAAAGAAGUUCACUCGUCGGUCAACUAUAACAAAGAUAGAAAUACAAGCUCAUUCUUCAGCAUUGAUGCCGUGUACUUUCGAGUCAGAGGAAUGAUUUUUCAAUUUGAGUGCUAACUGCUUCGAGAGAAAAUACUAAAGAGCAAAGAGAUGCCCGAUUUGGUGUACUUUCCAACCUUUUGAAACCGAACACAAAAUUCAAACAAAACUGUCUAAGUUGACCUUUACGAAAGAGGGGAAAUUACAUGUGAACCGAUCAAGUGAAAAUAGUUUAUUUGAUGCGAUUCAUAAGAUAAUUUAUUUCAUUAUUUCUACUGUACUGAUUGAAUAAUCUGGUAGACAUCACAUUACUUUAAUCAUGAAAUUUUUUUAAAAGAGUGGUAUCAAAUAAUCAGUUAGACUACAUUUUAAUUUGUCAAAAGUCUUACUUAAGUCCUGUUUGGUAUUGAAAUAUUGUAGCUCUUAGGAAAAAAAAGUUGUGACUAUAAAAUAAAAGUUAAUAAUAUGUAGUAAAUAUAAUUAUUAAAUAAUAAUUUUGACAAAAUUAUUAAAGAUAUUAACAGAUUUUUCACCAUAAAAGUAUAAAAUUAUAAGUGUAAAAUCAAAUUAAUUCAACUUCCAACCUACAACAACUAAUAUUUACUAAACAUUGUAAAUUUUAUACUCCAGCUAUCCAACAUCAAUCACAAACAGGAUAGUAAUCAUAUAUUUACUAAUAUAAAAUUUUUGAUUCACCAAGUAUUUUAUUUUCACUAUACUUCUAUCUUUCAAAUGUUUGGUAUGAAGUUUAGACAACCUCAAACUAAUUUAUAUUAUAAUCAAUUAUUACAAAUGUUUGAGUAUUGUGGAGGCACAUUUUUUUUUUUUUUAAUAAUUGUCUCAAGACAGUUUAUUCAUAUAAUCGAAAUUAGGGAUACAAAAUUAUUCUUAUAUAAAUUAUUGUGACACAAUUGUAUAAAAAUGCAACUCCCUAAUCUUGUAAUUUAAAAUGUUUGAAAUUAUGAGAUUUUGUAAUUGUAUGUUUAAAAGUUAAUCAUAAUUUGUAACACUUAUUAAUUAUAAUUGAUCGACACCAACGAAUAACUUUCUCAAUAUAUAAUUAUUGUGGAUUGCACGUUUCUUGUUUCGAAAUCGGAGGCCGUUACUAAUUUACCCAAGUGGGGCUUGCCCCAGUGUUUUAAGCAAACGCCUAACACACAUGAUUUUUUUAUUAAAAAGAUAGAGAUUUGGGAUGAUGAAAUUGGAUGAUUUGGUGCAUCUAAUUCAUAAUGUGACAAGAUGAGAUUUCACUUAACAACAUAUUUGCCAAUCAAUAUAACAAAUUGCGUGCACAUCCAAAACAAGUCGUGUUUUAUUAUAUUAGUUAAAACCUUUCAAUCAUAUAUUUGUUGGCCAAUUAAAUUACGCAAUUAACACCCUUUUCUUCUUCUUGUUCAAAAUCCGAUUCACUGAUUUUACUUCAAAUUAAUUAAUAAAUGAAUAGCAAGUUUCUUUCUUAAACAAAUAUCAUUUUUAUUUUUAUUUUUCUUUAUCUCGAGAGAGAGACCUUCCCCGUAGCCAAUAAGUCCGUUUCCUCAAAUUGAGGAUGGUUUAUGAGUUUUCUUUAUUUUCAACUCAAAAAUUAAUACGUUUGAAGAACAAAGAAAUGUGAGUUGGUCAAAUUCAUUGGAAACAAUUUUAGUCAAUUUUAUUAUAAACCGUUGUUUUCGUUGAUUUUAUUUGUUAAGUCAGUCUACAACACAAACCCUAUAAUGUUCCAAUCUCGCUAAUUAUUUUUUCUAUAGAAAAUUUUCAUUGGAUGUAUAUCGCACUACUUUUGUUAUAGUACUUUCAAUUUUUUUUUGUUAGCACUAGCUUUAUAGAAAAUACAAGAGCAUUUAACGUAGUUUAUGAACACACAGGUUCUAAAUGGUAAUAGAACAAGGACUGAUGUUUAGUAAGUGCAAUUUUUCAUUUAUAUCCAAAUCUAAAAAUAAUAAUAUUAGAUAAAACCCCUGUAACUUUAAGACAUACAUAUUCUCAAAGCACAACUGGAGCCGAGAGGCUGGGAGUCAUAAUGAAAAGAAGAGGGAUUUCUAGAAGCCGAGUAAAUACUAAGUACAAUAAAAUUGGGGACCAUAAUGGAAACUGGUAGUAACUUACAAUGGUUAAAAUCAGAACAACGCCAUCUGAAGAUCGCCAAAAACGUAAACAAUUAAUCUUAUCUUUCAAUUGAUUUUUGUGGAGCCAGAAAUAAUUAGACCGAACAGCAAAUAGCCAUAAAUGAUAGGAUGUUAUAUUUAUUAUGUGAGUCGUUGGUAUGCGUUUUCCACUUUGUUGUCUUAGAUGCAACGACUCAGGCAAUUAAAAUAAAUAAAAAAACAAAAAAAACUUACACGUGAAGUUUAAAAAUUAAUGUCCAUUUAAAUACGAAUCUAAUUUUAAACGCUUAUUCAGGCAACAAUUUUAAUCGGCAAAAAAUUAAAAAUACUAAUCAAGAAGCAGAGGCCGCACAGGCGGUAGGGCUGCGGCUAACUUUAUAGUUUAUAGUUUAGAAGAACGUUCUUUUCUUUCUUUUAGAGUUGAUGCCGUGAGAUGUUUUUUUAUAUUAUUAUUAUUAGUAUAACUGUGGUUGCGGAUUCAACUGAAAUAAUCUUCUUCGACGACGACGCGUAGCGACCGCCCUCGCUGAACUCUCCUUCCAAGAAACAACAACCACUCCGCCAUUUUUCUUCUAUAAAUACAUAUACAUCACACACAUUUACAUAUUUACACCCACUCUCGUCGUCAUCAUCAUCAAUUAACAUAUCUCCAACUUCAGCUUCUUCUCCCACCUAACCUGCAAUUUUUCUUCCUUUGCCUUUGCCAGUCUUUUCUCUCUUCUAUCAACUGCAAGCAUGAGUUCCUACAAUCAGAAUCAGUCCUCAGGUAACUAAAUCAUCUGUUUAUCCCACUUCUCCUCCUGUUGUUACGUUCCCCCGUUUUAAAUUGUGAAUCUUGAAUCUACAUGUUUUAUCUUAACUGGGUAAUUGUGUAUAUGUAGUAGCAUACCCCCCACCACCACCGUCUACAACGGCGGGUCCAUACGUGGCGGCGCCACCACCGGCAGGUUAUCCAACGAAAGACGGCGAUCAUGGUUACGCUCAAAAUGCCCCCGUAGAAACCAAGUCCAGAGGCUUCUGGAAAGGAUGGUAUGCAAUCUUUAUGUUUCACCUCACCAUAUGUUGAUUACUCAUAUAUAUAUAUAUAUAUAUAUAUAUAUAUACACACACACACGCACAUCUAUCAUAUAUGUAGGGACUGAUUUGGUUGGUUUAAUUUGCAGUUGUGCUGGCUUGUGUUGCUGCUGUGCCUUGGACGCCUGCUUCUGAACACAUACGCACGGUUGAUCGUUUGAUUUUGGGGAUUCUUUUUUAUUUCCAUUAUUAUAGUACAUGUAUAAAUAAUAAUGAAAACAGUUCAGAUUGUUCCUUAGUUUGAUGAUAGGAACGCCACCGUGGCUUGAGUUAUUAUUUUUGUAUACCAUUCUGUAGCCUUUUGAUACACAUACUCUUAUUUUUGUAUACCAUUCUGUAGACUUUUGAUACACAUACUCUUGUUCUUGUACUUUGAAUUUUAUUUACUAUGUAUUUAAUUCUCUGCAGUGGC